UACGAAGGGGGCUAGCGUUGCUCGGAAUCACUGGGCGUAAAGGGUGCGUAGGCGGGUCUUUUAAGUCAGGGGUGAAAUCCUGGAGCUCAACUCCAGAACUGCCUUUGAUACUGAGGAUCUUGAGUUCGGGAGAGGUGAGUGGAACUGCGAGUGAGAGGUGAAAUUCGUAGAUAUUCGCAAGAACACCAGUGGCGAAGGCGGCUCACUGGCCCGAUACUGACGCUGAGGCACGAAAGCGUGGGGAGCAACAGG
rnacentral:rRNA from 1 species